rnacentral:rRNA from 1 species
UACGGAGGGUGCAAGCGUUAUCCGGAUUCACUGGGUUUAAAGGGUGCGUAGGUGGGUUGGUAAGUCAGUGGUGAAAUCUCCAGGCUUAACUUGGAAACUGCCAUUGAUACUAUCAAUCUUGAAUACCGUGGAGGUCAGCGGAAUAUGUCAUGUAGCGGUGAAAUGCUUAGAUAUGACAUAGAACACCGAUUGCGUAGGCAGCUCACUAAACUGUAACUGACGCUGAGGCACGAAAGCGUGGGGAGCAAACAGG